ensembl:lncRNA
UUCAGGCUGUCCCACUCCAAAGCUACAUAGGAAGGUGGAUUAAAAUUUAAAAAAACACCGUGUUUUACAGAAGCUCGGCGUCUUACCAGUGCUGAUGGGCAACCUGAGAGCCGGGGGCUCCCAGCAGCCCCUGCAGGCUGACAGAGGCCGGUCCUCCCUCGGAGGUGAAGGGCAGGUGGGCCGUGAAGGAAAGCCGCCCCGUAGGGCUGCUCCGCCACCACCAACUCCAUCAUUCACUCACUGAUUUAAAACACAAACGUCCUCCGUGGCUUUGAAAACUAUAAUGCCCUCCAUAAGCCAAACAACUGUGUAUCUGGGAAAUCUUAGUGGAGUAUCUUGGCAACAAGAACACUUUAAUAAAACACAGAUCUCAUACAGAAAGAGCAUCUUUUGGGCAGAGGAGAUGAAGUGGAUGAGACACCAAGCCCAGUUUGAACAAUACACCGAAUUAAGCCCGAGAACUCGGACUGAGUUGGUAACUCCAGGGAAGACACCGAUGCUUCAGAAAGUGGGAACCAUUUCCACACUUACAAAUGGUUCUGUGGGCGUGAAUGCUUCCGCAGCUCCCAGGCCAGGCAAGAUGACCUUUCCAGAACUUGUAAAAUCAAAUCACAUAAAAAUAGAUUCAGACUUUCUUAAAAUGAAACCGCUUGAAAAAGAAGCCCAACAACUGAAAUGCUGGAGGAAAACAGAACGUGCCUGAGCAAAUAUACUUCAAAAUGAAAUUUUAAACUUGGAAUAAUGACAGUAGUUACGUCUCCAUCUCUCUUUCUCUCUCGCUCGCUGCCAUUUCCAGAUCACUCUUAUCAGAGCUCUGUCAGCCCCUAAACUGACAUUUUCCCAUCCUGAUCAUUCCCAGGAUAGAGAAGAAGGAUUUUUUUUUUUUUUUUGCUUGGCUGAUGCAAACAGCAGAUCAUCCUACAGAGAAACGUCAAGGACAGUUCGGAGUCCUAAUCCCUGACCUGGCGGCCCUUUCCUAACUAGCUAUUGACAUUGAACUUAAAAAGCUGCAAAGCUGAGAUGAGAUAAUGAAUUCUGUUUGCUUUUAGCGUGCGGGAGGAGGAGGGUGAGAG